rnacentral:rRNA from 1 species
AUGUCCGCCCUGACCCCAUCGAUCCUCCCCCGCGCCGCCUGUCCCGACCCCGUCUUCCCCGCAGCAAUGGCCGGUGGCUUGCUGGCGGCGGCGACCCCGGCGGAACCUGAGUCCACCACAACCACCACCGUUUCCUCCCUCGGCAAAGACCUGCUCCUCGACAUCUUCCUCCGCCUGCCGAACCUGCCGGCCCUCGUCCGCGCCGCGCUCGCCUGCCGCACCUGGCUCGGCGCCGUCCGGUCCUCCCCGUCCUUCCGCCGCCUCUUCCACGCGCUCCACCCGGCGCCCCUCCUCGGGAUCUUCCUCGAGACCGACGGCAUCUGCAUCCCCACCUUCGUCCCCGUGCGCCGCUUCGACCCCGACGUCGCCGUCUCCCUCCGCCGCGGCGACUUCUUCCUCACCUCCCUCCCCGCGGAGGGCGACGCGUCCCGCGGCUGGCUCCUCGACGACUGCCGCGGCGGGCGCGCCCUCCUCUGGAAUGCGCUCCAUGGUUCGCUCGCCGCUCUCAACCCGAUGACCUGGGCCGUCGACUCCCUCCCGAUGCCCCCCGUCGACUUCAUGGCGGAGACCCGCAACUUCCUUGGUUUUCACCUCCUCUACUCCGACGAGAAGCCCUCCUCGUUUCGCGUGGUCUGCAUCUGCGCUGACGCGUCCAGGGUUCGUGCCGCCGUCUUCUCGUCCGAAACGUGGGAUUGGGCCAUCAACCCGUGGGUGGAAAUCGGUGGAAACAACAGCCUAAAGUGCAAGACUAGCACACUGGUGGGUGAUUCUGUUUACUGGCCUUGCCACGGCGAAGCACACAUGAUAAGGAUCGACGCCACGACCAUGGAUGUCACCACUGUGGAUCUACCCUCUCAAGCGAAGGUUUGGACCCAUAGCGUGGAUGGUGAUGGGAUUCAGAGCUGGAUACCGCACAAGGCAAUCUCUUUGGGUGCUCAAGUCGAUCGCAUUACUGAGGGCUUUCAGGGAGACCUCAAGGUUGUGCAAGUUAGGGAUGGAACCGCUUACUUAUCAAGAACAAUGAUGACCCCUUCUGGCUUACUCUGCUGCUGGUUUUUCUCCCUUUGCUUGGAGACUAUGGAGCUUGACUUGCUGAUUCAGGGGAGGUAUGAUGGUCGUGGCUAUCCAUACAUUAUGGCAUGGCCUCCUUCUUUAGUUGGUGAUGAAGCACCUGAACUUGAAGGUUCGGAGUGA